GAAAGUGAGGGUGAAGAGAGCACUGAUUUAUUGAGCUGAAAAUAUUGUUAGAAAUGCAAUCGAAAUCCACUCGAAAUGAAUUUGUUAGUUAGAAAUGAAAUGCGAAUUAGAGUUAGUUGGAACAUUCAGUUCGAUUAGUUGGUGGUGAUCAUGAUUCCCUGCAUGUUGCGUUUGUGUUAUGGUGGUCUGAUCUUGUGUGUUAUGUUAAUUGCUUUGCAGUGUAACAAUCAAUUAGAUUUUGGAGUUCAUGAGUUAUGCAGGUUAAAGUUAAUUUGGAAUGGACUGUUUCCCUAUUGGUGUUAACAUGAACUAUUAGGAGACUUGUUUAAGUUACAGCCCUGAGGUAAUUUGCAUCAGUUAACCCUGUUGGUUUUUCACCUUGCCAUGGUUAGAAUGGCUGUUAUGUUAGGGAUUUAGUGAGCUGUAACAUCGGCUUUUCACCAUGAACUGUCAGGAGUGCAUGCUAGUGUAGUUAAAUUUGAAUGUGAUUGCUACUGUUUGUUGAUAACAUGUUAGGAUUGUGGGAAUGUUUGCAUGAUUCAAAUGUUAUCCUAUGCAAUGUUUACUAUGAAUUGUUAGUCAAACUAUUAGCAAGGUUAGUGAGGAAGUUAACUCAAGAUGCUUUGAAAAAAUGGUUGUUAGUGUUAGAUUCCAUUUUUGUUAAAGAGUGAGCUAAGAGUUAAUUGUUAGGUUUAAGUUAAUUGAAAUGAAGUGGUAAAAUACUUGUCAAUAAUUUCUGCUUGUGCCUACUAUAGGGAACACUGUCAACCCUGUUAUGAGUUAAACUCGAUUCCUUGUUAAUGCAGUUAGGGUGAAUGAACUGUUUUGCUAUGUUUGUGAAGUGGUUCUAGUUUAUGACUCAACAUUGCUUUACAUAGUUCUGCAGCAGGAAUUCUAAAUUGGUUCAUGGUAUGCAUUGUUUCAAUUAUGACUUUUCCCCCUCUUUUAUGCAACAUGGCAACUUCUUGGAUUUUGCUUGAAUUGUGUACUUUUUGGUUGUAGGAACAUCAUUUCAUGCAUGGAGUGUUUCUUGACUAUGUGGUGAGUUCAAAAAUCAUGGUGACACAAGGAUAACUUGGCUCAUCAAAGGUUAUGGUUUCAAGGCAAAAAGGCAUGGAAGCAUACUUGAACUUGGUUCUUGUUUGAAAAAAAAGUGUGAAGAUGCAAAUAGGGAAUGAAGGAGAUUAGGAUUACCAUGAGGCUGAAAAUAGAAUAGGUUAGGACUUAGAAGAUAUGAGUUGGCUUUGGUCAACUGGUUGACCAAAUAGUCAACAAUUGACCAAAGUCAACUAUUGGUUAAAAAUCAAAAUUUUGCUUUGUAACUUUUUGUAUAGACAUUGUAACACGAUUUUGUGUGAAUGAAUGAACAAUUUUGAAUAAAA
rnacentral:lncRNA from 1 species